UACGUAGGCAGCGAGCGUUGUUCGGAGUUACUGGGCGUAAAGAGUGCGUAGGCGGUUUUCUAAGUUUGGUGUGAAAUCUCCCGGCUUAACUGGGAGGGUGCGCCGAAAACUGGAAGGCUUGAGUAUGGGAGAGGUAAGCGGAAGUUCCUGGUGUAGCGGUGAAAUGCGUAGAUAUCAGGAGGAACACCUGCGGUGUAGACGGCUUACUGGACCAUAACUGACGCUGAGGCACGAAAAGCGUGGGUAGCAAACAGG
rnacentral:rRNA from 1 species